ACGUACUUGUACUGAUUGAGAUUUUAACACGAAGUGAGUGGCGAACGGGUGAGUAACACGUGGGUAACCUGCCCAGAAGUAGGGGAUAACACCUGGAAACAGAUGCUAAUACCGUAUAACAGAGAAAACCGCAUGGUUUUCUUUUAAAAGAUGGCUCUGCUAUCACUUCUGGAUGGACCCGCGGCGUAUUAGCUAGUUGGUGAGGUAAAGGCUCACCAAGGCAGUGAUACGUAGCCGACCUGAGAGGGUAAUCGGCCACAUUGGGACUGAGACACGGCCCAGACUCCUACGGGAGGCAGCAGUAGGGAAUCUUCCACAAUGGACGCAAGUCUGAUGGAGCAACGCCGCGUGAGUGAAGAAGGGUUUCGGCUCGUAAAGCUCUGUUGUUAAAGAAGAACGUGGGUAAGAGUAACUGUUUACCCAGUGACGGUAUUUAACCAGAAAGCCACGGCUAACUACGUGCCAGCAGCCGCGGUAAUACGUAGGUGGCAAGCGUUAUCCGGAUUUAUUGGGCGUAAAGCGAGCGCAGGCGGU
rnacentral:rRNA from 1 species